UCUACGGGAGGCAGCAGUGGGGAAUAUUGCGCAAUGGGCGAAAGCCUGACGCAGCGACGCCGCGUGAGGGAUGAAGGUCUUCGGAUCGUAAACCUCUGUCAGCAGGGAAGAACGGUCACUGUGCUAAUCAGCAGUGAAUUGACGGUACCUGCAAAGGAAGCACCGGCUAACUCCGUGCCAGCAGCCGCGGUAAUACGGAGGGUGCGAGCGUUACUCGGAAUUACUGGGCGUAAAGCGCUCGUAGGCGGUAUGUCAAGUCAAGGGUGAAAUCCCCGCGCUCAACGUGGGAACUGCCUUUGAAACGGGCAAACUGGAGUGUGUGAGAGGAUAGUGGAAUUCCAGGUGUAGGAGUGAAAUCCGUAGAUAUCUGGAGGAACAUCAGUGGCGAAGGCGACUAUCUGGCACAUAACUGACGCUGAGGAGCGAAAGCGUGGGUAGCAAACAGGAUUAGAUACCCUAGUAGUC
rnacentral:rRNA from 1 species